rnacentral:lncRNA from 1 species
AUGCUCUCCCAGCUCUCCACCGCCCUGGUGACUUCCUCACGCUGGGGCCACCGGCCUUUCUGGUUCCCCUUCGGCAAAUACACUCCAGUCCCCCAGAGACCGAUUUCCACGGAAACCAUGGCCACAGGGCGCCUUCUAGAGAGGCUGUCUGUCGAGCAGGGUGUGGCAGAAAGGAGGCACAGUCUCAGGAUGACAUUAGUAAUGGGAACAAGACACAGAGACAGCAGAAAAGCCCGUGAACAUGCCAAGUGUUUGAGAACAUUUCUAUCGGUGGAGGGACAGACCUCAGAAAGAUCAGGAGGCCAGACACAGAGCACCUGCUGUGUGCCAGGCUUGAGGCAAAGUGCUGGAGGGGUCGGGGGUCAGAUGGCACCUUGUCUCCAGGGCGUUUGCAGCCUCUCAGUGCACAGAGAAUCACACCAAACAAGAGCACAGCAAAGAACGGAGCAUACGGGCGCACGUCACCAGGGAAAACCAUCCUGUACUGAGCUGGAAACGGUCCCGAGAGAUGACGUCUCGACAAGCAGGCCCACGACGAAGCAUGAAUGGCAGCACGUGGGAACAGGACGGGGUGGUAGACGGAAGAACUCACCUGGCUGGUUGGUGAUGCUGUUUGAUUCACGGAAACCCCGAACAGGAAUGUCUGGCCUCUUGCCUGACGGGGGCCUGGGAGGACGGGGACCAGGUCCCAGCCAACCUUGCCCUCCACGGAGCUCUGGGCACCGAGACUGGAGGGCGCCAGGAGAGCCGGAGAACCAAGGGUUGCAUCUGUGCUCUGGUUUGGGUUCAGUUUUAUUUUAAGGCCAGGAAAAUGCAAAGCAUCCUGGCCUGUAUUCCUCACGAUUCUUGCCAGGGGAAAGAAAUCUGUCUCCUGUUUCAAGAACUGCGCGCGAUGGCUUGUGGUUGGGGCAGUAAAGACAACCCCACAGAACUUUACAGGGUGCAACGGGCUUUCCUUCGUCAGAUCCCAAGUGGGACGCCAGUAAGCCCUGACCGCCAAUCCUAUUCAUCAGCCUAGUCACGGAGCUGAUGGCUCCCGACUAGAUCCCCAGACUUCCUGUCCCCUGUCAACACGGGGCCAGGCUCCCCCAGCAGAAAGAGUCUUGGAACCACAAGCCACCACCUCGAGCCUCAUCACGGGCAUACCUUCCCCUUCAGAUGCUGCAGAGAAGCUGUGCGAUCAGACACACACACUUACACACACCUCUUCCUGCGCGCCUCCUCCCAAGGCUGUGUCACAAAUCUAUUGUGCCACCUGGAAUUCCCUCCCCACCUCCCCAACCCCAAAUGAUUUUUUUUUUUUUUUUUGGCUUUUUAGGGCCAAACCCACGGCAUAUGGAAUUCCCAGGCUAGGGGUCGAAUUGGAGCUGUAGCUGCCGGCCAGGGCCACACCCGAUCCGAGCCACAUCUGCGACCUACAUCACAGCUCAUGACAACACUGGAUCCGUAAGCCACUGAACGAGGCCAGGGAUCGAACCUGCAUCCUCAUGGAUACCAGUUGGAUUCAUUACCACUGAGCCGCAGCAGGAACUGAUUUUUUUUAUUAGUGGAUUCUACAUGCCUACGUUGGGUGAUUUGAGAAGAAGGAGAACGCAGAUAUUUGCCCACUAAGAUGAUCAUUAUUAUCAUCAUGGCAUAUUUUUAAGCAUAUUUUUACCGUAGUUGUCACCAUCAUACCCACAGGAUCUUGUCUCUUGCAUACAUUUCGCCUGCCGUCAUCCCAGGCAUCUCCCAUGUCCCUAAAAAUGGUUUGUCAGGCCUUACUUUCAGAAGUUUGCAACACUCUGCAGUGAGGAUGUACCACCAUUUUUCUAACCAAUUAUUGUUGGACAAUUAGCUGUUUCUAAUGUUUCAGUGUUAAAUAAAAAAAUGUUGCAGUGACCA